rnacentral:rRNA from 1 species
UACAGAGGGUGCGAGCGUUGUCCGGAAUCACUGGGCGUAAAGGGCGCGUAGGCGGCUUGAUAAGCGUGCGGUGAAAGCCCGGGGCUCAACCCCGGGUCGGCCGUGCGAACUGUCGAGCUGGAGCACUGUAGAGGCAGGUGGAAUUCCGGGUGUAGCGGUGGAAUGCGUAGAAAUCCGGAAGAACACCGGUGGCGAAGGCGGUUCUCUGGGCCUGUACUGACGCUGAGGAGCGAAAGCGUGGGGAGCGAACAGG